GCAAGGUUAAAACUCAAAUGAAUUGACGGGGGCCCGCACAAGCGGUGGAGCAUGUGGUUUAAUUCGAUGCAACGCGAAGAACCUUACCUGGUCUUGACAUCCACAGAAGUUUGCAGAGAUGCGAAUGUGCCUUCGGGAACUGUGAGACAGGUGCUGCAUGGCUGUCGUCAGCUCGUGUUGUGAAAUGUUGGGUUAAGUCCCGCAACGAGCGCAACCCUUAUCCUUUGUUGCCAGCGGUUAGGCCGGGAACUCAAAGGAGACUGCCAGUGAUAAACUGGAGGAAGGUGGGGAUGACGUCAAGUCAUCAUGGCCCUUACGACCAGGGCUACACACGUGCUACAAUGGCGCAUACAAAGAGAAGCGACCUCGCGAGAGCAAGCGGACCUCAUAAAGUGCGUCGUAGUCCGGAUUGGAGUCUGCAACUCGACUCCAUGAAGUCGGAAUCGCUAGUAAUCGUGGAUCAGAAUGCCACGGUGAAUACGUUCCCGGGCCUUGUACACACCGCCCGUCACACCAUGGGAGUGGGUUGCAAAAGAAGUAGGUAGCUUAACCUUCGGGAGGGCGCUUACCACUUUGUGAUUCAUGACUGGGGUGAAGUCGUAACAAGGUAACCGUAGGGGAACCUGCGGUUGGA
rnacentral:rRNA from 1 species